GUAGGGGGCAAGCGUUGUCCGGAAUUAUUGGGCGUAAAGAGCACGUAGGCGGUUUGCCAAGUCAGAUGUGAAAUCCCGCAGCUUAACUGCGGAACUGCAUUUGAUACUGGCAGGCUAGAGUACAGGAGAGGGAAGCGGAAUUCCUAGUGUAGCGGUGAAAUGCGCAGAUAUUAGGAAGAACACCGGUGGCGAAGGCGGCUUCCUGGACUGUUACUGACGCUGAGGUGCGAAAGCUAGGGGGAGCAAGCAGGAUUAGAUACCCUGGUAGUCCUAGCCGUAAACGAUGGGCACUAGGUGUAGGGGGUAUCAACUCCCCCUGUGCCGCAGCUAACGCAUUAAGUGCCCCCGCCUGGGAGUACGGUCGCAAGCUA
rnacentral:rRNA from 1 species